AAAUCUGAGACAGCCUUGGUCUGAGGGAGCAAAGACAGAGAAUUCACGUGCUGCCCAGGCAUAGCCACAUAGCAGGUGGACAUCCCUGGACACUUUUCUGGCUUUGGUAUCAGAAUGAUGCUGGCCUCAUAAAAUGAGUUGGGGAGGAUUCCCUCUUUUUCUAUUGAUUGGAAUAGUUUCAGAAGGAAUGGUACCAGUUCCUCCUUGUACCUCUGGUAGAAUUUGGCUGUGAAUCCAUCUGGUCCUGGACUCUUUUU
rnacentral:lncRNA from 10 species